rnacentral:misc_RNA from 1 species
GCAAAAGUAAGCAAAGUUGUAUAAAUGUACUACUACCUACAUGGUGAAUAUUCAAACUAUAAACCAUUAUACAAUUAUUCUAUCACACACAUUCUCAAGUAACUGCAGAUACAGAUUAAACCACAAGCCAGUCCAACAUUAUUCGCCAUUAUAAUAUGUGCAAGAAAUGUGCGGCGCCAUUUGUAUUUUACCAGUUACCAAGAAUCUCAUUUGUAAGAAUUUCUAUCAGCAUGAGUGUCUUUGUAACGUUGGAG